AGAGUUUGAUCCUGGCUCAGAGCGAACGCUGGCGGCGUGCUUAACACAUGCAAGUCGAACGAGGUCCAAGGAGUAGCAAUACUCCUGAAGACCUAGUGGCGAACGGGUGAGUAACACGUGAGCAACCUGCCCCGAAGACCGGGAUAACAGCGGGAAACCGCUGCUAAUACCGGAUGUCCCCAUCGGACCACAUGGCCUGA
rnacentral:rRNA from 1 species